rnacentral:lncRNA from 1 species
AUGGUCCCAUACAGUGGCGGAUCAUCGUGGGGGCCACCAAGUGUAUCCCCAAGUCGGAGCUGCCUGAGGAUCAGGUGGAAGUGACUGCCUUGGCCAGCACACGGCUCUGGACACACCCCAGUGAUCUGACCAUCGCCCUUUCAGCCAGCACCCCACUCUACCCACCUGGCCGUAUCAUCCAUGUGGUCCAUAACCACCCUGCUGAACAGUGCUGCUGCUGUGAACAGGAAGAGCCCACAUACUUUGCCAUCUGGGGUGACAACAAAGCCUUUAAUGAGGUGAUCAUCUCACCAGCCAUGCUCCAUGAGCACCUGCCCUACGUGGUCAUGGAGGGGCUCAAUAAGGUGAGUGCAGGCAGGGCCAGUGGGUGCCCUCAGAUUGAGUCCUUGGAUCCCUUCUGAAAGACAGGGGCCUCAGACUCAGAUGCUAGCCAGCCCAACCACAGUUCCCAGUUGGCCCUGGUAGUAAGAAAGACCUGCAGUCUUUCCACACUCCACGUUACCCCACGAUAGAAAGGAGGGA